rnacentral:lncRNA from 1 species
AACGUUUUAAUGGUGAUAAAUUGUUAAAGUCUUUAGGGCAUUUGUGUUUUCCUCUUGAAUCAGAUAUAAUUUGUCACUUCUGAAGUUGAAGGAGUUUUGCCUCCCAAAACAUCUCAAUUUCUUAUUGAUUCUGUACUAUACUACAGCUCUGUUAACCUUUCUAGCCUGUGCUCCAUCGUUUGUCAUAACUUAUUUGUGGAAUAAUCUCAAGGAGUUCCUGUUAGCUUUGGUCUUGGUUUCCAUCUCUGGAGAGCUGGAGGGAACCAGGGUCUCUUCCAAAUCCCAAAAUGAGGUUGAGCAAGCAGGCACCAUCAAGGAAGAGAAGCAGACUCCAGCAGCUGCAGAACUCUCUUCUUCCUUAUUUCUUCUCUUCCUCAUAUGUUGCUGCAGUGGUUGGUGAAUAGUAGGGAAGCAAAUGUAUCCUUUACAUAAAAGCAGAAAUAGUUGGGAAUGUGGAAGUUCUUGUUGCAGAAGUCCAUCUUCUACAAUAACUAGCUUUGCAGCUGGCCUGAGUGGCUAACAGCAACCUUAACUCUCUGUCAUCUCAACAACAAGGAUUUUAGUAAGCUGAUCUGGUAUUGGGUUUGGGGGAAAACUUAGGAAAAAAAAAAGCAGUUGUGUGCGGGAAUUGCCAAUGUUUCCACCUGGAGAGCUGCUGUGAUUACACAUGAGCACAUAGGACUGAAGAUUUGGGGGAAGUCAGAGGAAUACAUCUUCAGAAUCUACUCACCCUGCAUUACAUACAGAAACUUUCUGUGGAGUCCCAGAAACUCGCAUUCUCCUCUGCGAAAACCAAAGCCAGCCAUUUGUCAACUGUAAUAACCAAUAAUACUUUCAAGAUUGCAAAAACUUUUCCUUAUAAACAGAAAGCAGUAUUUCUCUUCACUGGAUUCAAGGUCUUCUCUGCCAGCAAGUUUCAUGGAAUGACCGUUAGAUGGAAAAAUGUCAAAAAUAGAUUAUCUUCCUCAGUCAAAUGCUUAUUUGAGGAAGGUUUAAGUCCUUUAACACAGAGGAUGAAGUGAUGAUCCAGAUAUGAUAAUGAAAUGGCUGCUGCAGUGUCAUGUACAGAAACAGUGUACAUUAUGAAGGUAUUGUCUUAAUUAACAAAACAUAUUUGUUUUAAUAAACAGAAAGAAUAUAUACUUCCUUAAAAUGUC